ACUAGCAUGGUGUAGUUGUUUGAGCAUUAGACUACGACUCUGGAGAUCAAGGUUCAAUUCCUUGUUUAGCC